CGCGGGGUGGAGCAGUCUGGUAGCUCGUCGGGCUCAUAACCCGAAGGUCAUCGGUUCAAAUCCGGUCCCCGC
rnacentral:tRNA from 1 species